AUACGUAGGUGGCAAGCGUUAUCCGGAAUUAUUGGGCGUAAAGCGCGCGUAGGCGGUUUUUAAGUCUGAUGUGAAAGCCCACGGCUCAACCGUGGAGGGUCAUUGGAAACUGGAAAACUUGAGUGCAGAAGAGGAAAGUGGAAUUCCAUGUGUAGCGGUGAAAUGCGCAGAGAUAUGGAGGAACACCAGUGGCGAAGGCGACUUUCUGGUCUGUAACUGGCGCUGAUGUGCGAAAGCGUGGGGAUCAAACAGGAUUAGAUACCCUGGUAGUCAAGGGCG
rnacentral:rRNA from 1 species